UUGGUUCUAUAAACCGCUGACAAAAUGUCUCUUGGACAUUUCAGCGGAAGGUAAACAAAACAGCUGGUUCUCUUUGCCAAGCCAAGGCCCAAAGCAGGCAUCUUUGCCUAAAUGUCCUGACUUGGAUAUGCUCUGCCCCUCUGGAGACGCCCUAAUUUCAGAUGACAUCUCUGGAGAACCACUGACCCCUCUCAAGAGAGAUGUUUCUGCAAAGAACUGAAAAUACACAGGUGUUUUGCUUUUCUGUGACGCCAACCCCUGACCCCCCAGAUGAAUGUCCAAGGACCACAACAAAGGAACCGUCAAUUAUUACAGUGAAUGGUCACAAUAAUCAAAACAAUUUAUACAAAAAAAAACAAAAACAAAACAAAAAUUUAAAAUCAGUACAAUGUUAUUUGACACACUUCAUAAUUCCUACAUAGUAGUGAAGUCAAUAUGUAUUGUACUGCCAAAAAACAUUUCCAAUCACACACUGAACAAAAUUAUUCUAGGCCUUUUGCACAUCUGCAAGCUAGACAGACUUCACCAUUCAAACAAAAGCACUACUUGAUUGUGAUGUCCCAUUAUCUCUUUGUCCAACUUUUCCGGGUUCCUCCAGCAACUUCUCUCAUCCACUUCCUGGCCUAGGUCCUCCAGCAAAACAGUUUGCUCUGCUUUCUCCUGCACUGGGCUGAGAGCACACCUUUUAUAGGGCAUGAGGUAAUGGGUAACAGGCGAUGCAGUUAGUUUCCUCAGAAAGUCAAUCAGUUCUACCAUUUGGUCACCAGUGUACUAAUAAUAAAUACAACAAAAUAGUAAACACACCAAGCAAAAACUGAACAUAGUAAGCAAUAUAAAAUAAAAACAACCAAGUAAUCACAGCAAAAUUAUAACAAAGAUUAUAGAAAGAUGCUUUAAUUGUCUAAUAGUUUUGAGAUGAAACAUGUCUUCAUCUCUUUGUCUAAUUAGGUGCUAACAAUUACUAAGAUAUAUCAGUAGGGAAUUAUACUGUAUACAACAUCUUAUGAGACAACUUGUUACAAUCAGCAAAGAAAAAAAAAAAUCAUCAGCUGUUAUAUAUGUUUGAUUCCAGGCACAGGAAAGUCUCAGAUCGAGAAGUGAUCUAUUUCAUUACACAUAUGUACACAGUGCUUCGAAAGGUGAUCUUCCCCAAUCUGGCUUGAAUAAAUAAGGCCUAAAAACAAAGUUUUACAACCUUGGUGUCUUGUUUAAGAUUUAUAGCCAUGCAGCUCCCCUUUUUAGCAAAUUAAACCUUGUGUCAAGGCUGAAAAUUAAAUCCAAGACUCCGCCGCCCUAUGCGUAGGGGGAACAAAUUGGCACCACAUGCCGGCUGUCAAGAAGCAAUGAUGGGAAGCAGAGGGAAGCAUGAGCCUUCCAACCUAAGGGGAGCCACUGGUCAACUCCACCGGGAUACAUAUUCAAUUCCAUUUAAACUCAGAAACAGAAAUCUUUUUGUUAUGGAAUAGGAUUUAAAAGGUUAUGACGUUGUCAAAAAAAAAAAAAAAAAAAAAAAAAGGUUUCUUUUACCCGUCCUAUAACGAUACUGGAUAAUUUAUGCCUUCAUGGUAAAAUAUGUAUAACAAACCGCUCUUAUUUUAUCCCUUUGCUUACACUUUCAUAGAAUGUGCCUUUGUCCUACAUAGCAUAACAUCUUGUUACUUUAUUAGUGUAAGAAUAAACACUGUGCAUUUCAAACUAUUUAUUAGCACUAAGGAAAUUAUUUCCACACCAAUGAAAAUUCUUUCAACUUUUAUUUAUGACUUUGAAGGGUAGCUCCCAAUGUCAUGUCAUAUUAAAAUGGUCUACUGUGCUUGUCUCCAUCUUUCUAAUUGGGUAAAAUUGUUAUUGUAACAAUGGGUAUUGUAAAUCCAGAAUGUUGCUAAACAUCUUGUAUUAUAUUGUUUAAAGUUAUUUUGUGUUUAAUAACAACUGAAGGGGAACUAUGGAAACAUUACUGCGAUUUGAUAGAUUUUGUGAAGUAUGGACUGCAGUAUAGUGUAUUAUUUCAAGAUAGAGGGGAAGUUCUGGAAUGCUGAGUUGUAAAAUAUUUUUUCAGCAUUCUUCAUAUCUUUGUUGAUGAUAAAUGUAGCGUAAUCUUUAAACGUUGUUUUUUUGUUUGUUUGUUUGUUUUUAUUUAUUUAUUUUUAUAAUCCCACAGUAAGAACUGUCCAAUUUUUUAAACUAGUAAUUGGGUCAAAAAAAUGGCUAAAACAAAAAUAUGAUUUUACCUUAGGUAAUGCACAUUACUGUACCUUACUUUCUAACAAACUGUAAAACUAAGAACAAGAAGAAAAGGAAUAAGAGACAGUAAUCCUGAUCCCUAUGGAGAAUGUGUGAAGUACUGCAGUUGAUUUUAGUCACAUAUUAUAAUUCUGUUAAGACGAUUUAACCAUAUUUCAUUUUGGUCUUUUUGCAUUAUUCAAAGUGGAGCAUUUCCUUUUUGAUUUUGUUGAUUCAAUGUUAUGCUUGAUUCACAAGUUAAAUGCAGUUGCAUCUGCGUUAUGUUACUAGCAAUAAAAAAUAUAAUGAUAUUUUGGGACACUCCUAUCUUUCUAGGCUCUGCUUAAGUUUUUGAAUUAUUCAAAAUAUGUUUUUUAGGUCACUAUGUUUAAAAAAAUUACAAUUAUUUGCAAAACCUUUAAAAAAAAGUUAUGUUACAACUUAAUAUUAACCAAAUCUGGACUGAUCCUGUAUUUUAAACAAGACAGGCCAAUGAAUAUUCCACAUAAUUUGUGUAUAAAAACAAAUGGCAUAAUGUAAGCGAGUCCCAAACUUUCUUACAGCACUGUAUUUUGUUAUGAUUGAAUUGUAGUACACUAUUAAUUGUGUUAUUUACCCCUUGUUUCCCAGGCCGAGGGUUUUUGUGGAACGUUUGGAACGUUUUGUGGACUUGGAAUCUUUGUCACGGCUCUAACGGGUGCCUGCAGUUGUUAGGGGGUUGUACAGGAGAAGAGGACUGGGCCCCGUCGCAGACCCUGAACAUUACACUUGGCUGAGUCUAAAGAACUGCCACAGUCAUUCUAUAAAGGGCUUGAGUGAUUCCCGUGAUGGGCCUACUUUUGCUUAAGCUUGUCUACUCGCUUGAACAUUACGCUUGCUGAAUGUGCUGCUAAUAAGUCUUUUUGAUAUUUAUUCUGGACACUUCUAUUGUUUUAACGUGCUGCUAAUGAGUUAUUGAUACUUACCUUGAACGCUGCUAUUGUUCAACACGCUGCUUACGAGCUAAGUGAUAUUUACUUGGAAUGCUAUUAUUGCUUAACACGUUGUUAAUGAGUUUGGGUUACGCCUCUUAUGCCUAUCGAUCGAUCAAUGCUUUAACAAGUCAUUUCAUGUGUAUCCCCCUGUAUUAUUGAAGUUAAAUAAGAUGUUUAGUUGGCUAUACUAUGCACUUGAUAUAUUACUACUAAUAGCUUAAUUGUAUUAUAUAUUGGGUGAUCUGAAUUGAGUAUUAUAAUA